UCGCAAUGGGGGCAACCCUGACGAAGCAAUGCCGCGUGAAUGAAGAAGGCCUUCGGGUUGUAAAGUUCUUUCGUGGAGGACGAAAAGGUGGGUGCUAAUAUCGCCUGCUGUUGACGUGAAUCCAAGAAGAAGCACCGGCUAACUCCGUGCCAGCAGCCGCGGUAAUACGGGGGGUGCAAGCGUUAAUCGGAAUCACUGGGCGUAAAGGGUGCGUAGGCGGUGCAUUAGGUCUGUCGUGAAAUCCCCGGGCUCAACCUGGGAAUGGCGGUGGAAACCGGUGUACUAGAGUAUGGGAGAGGGUGGUGGAAUUCCAGGUGUAGCGGUGAAAUGCGUAGAGAUCUGGAGGAACAUCAGUGGCGAAGGCGGCCACCUGGCCCAAUACUGACGCUGAGGCACGAAAGCGUGGGGAGCAAACAGGAUUAGAUACCCUGGUAGUCCACGCCCUAAACGAUGAAUACUAGAUGUUUGGUGCCAAGCGUACUGAGUGUCGUAGCUAACGCGAUAAGUAUUCCGCCUGGGAAGUACGGCCGCAAGGUUAAAACUCAAAGGAAUUGACGGGGGCCC
rnacentral:rRNA from 1 species